rnacentral:snRNA from 1 species
GUGCUUGCUUUGGCAGCACGCAUACCCAAAUCAGAAUAAACAGAGAAGAUUAGCAUGGCACCUGCCCAAGGAUAGUAUGAAAAUUUGUGAAACAGUCUAUAUUUUU